GACGAACGCUGGCGGCGUGCUUAACACAUGCAAGUCGAACGGAAAGGCCCUGCUUGCAGGGUACUCGAGUGGCGAACGGGUGAGUAACACGUGGGUGAUCUGCCCUGCACUUCGAGAUAAGCCUGGGAGACUGGGUCUAAUACCGGAUAGGAGCCAUUUUUAGUGUGAUGGUUGGAAAGUUUUUUCGGUGUAGGAUGAGCUCGCGGCCUAUCAGCUUGUUGGUGGGGUAAUGGCCUACCAAGGCGGCGACGGGUAGCCGGCCUGAGAGGGUGGACGGCCACAUUGGGACUGAGAUACGGCCCAGACUCCUACGGGAGGCAGCAGUGGGGAAUAUUGCACAAUGGGCGCAAGCCUGAUGCAGCGACGCCGCGUGGGGGAUGACGGCCUUCGGGUUGUAAACUCCUUUCGCUAGGGACGAAGCUUUUUGUGACGGUACCUAGAUAAGAAGCACCGGCUAACUACGUG
rnacentral:rRNA from 1 species